rnacentral:sRNA from 1 species
GAAAAUUGCCUUUAAAAGAUGAUGCUUCCAUCAG